CCAUGCUCCCCGAGAGGGUUCGGCCCUCGGCAGACCGCUCCNUAACACGUGGAUAACCUACCCUGAAGUGGGGGAUAAUCUUGGAAAACUGAGGAUAAUACCCCAUAGAUCUUCGAUACUGGAAUGUUCCUAGAUCAAAAGCUACGGCGCUUCAGGAUGGGUCUGCGGCCUAUCAGGUUGUAGUAAGUGUAAAGGACUCACUAGCCGACGACGGGUACGGGCUGUGGGAGCAGUUGCCCGGAGAUGGACUCUGAGACACGAGUCCAGGCCCUACGGGGCGCAGCAGGCGCGAAAACUUCACAAUGCGCGGAAGCGCGAUGAGGGGAUUCCAAGUGCGUGCACUAUGUGUACGCUGUUUACUAGUCUAAAACGCUAGUANAGUAAGGGCUGGGUAAAACUGGUGCCAGCCGCCGCGGUAAUACCAGCGGCCCUAGUGGUGAUCGUUAUUAUUGGGCCUAAAGCGUCCGUANCCGGUUCGGUAAAUCUCUGGGGUAAAUCGUUGGGCUUACUCACGANUCUGGGAAACUGCCAAC
rnacentral:rRNA from 1 species